AUUUACUCUCAAAUCGAACAGAAGGCAGGAGAGGUUUUUCUGAACAGCCAGUGGGCCUUCUAGCCUCACCGAAGUCCUGCAAGGCCAAAGAUGCCAGUACACAGACUUCCUGGUCGAACCGCACCUACUCUCCAACCCAUCCAAUCUCUCCAUGGGGAGGCCAGAUGGCGGCUUCCUCAGUCCCCACCACUGGCCCCCAGUCCCUCAGAAAAACUAGACACCAUGCAUGCAGAGAUCCAGAAACUUGCACAAGUUAUGCACAUGAUGCUGGAGUGCCAGUGGCUGAAACAAAAAGUGGAAAACCACAAUCCAGGGAAUAGAAUACUCACUGAAAGUUAACAAAUUAAUUAAUGCCUUCUAUUAAAUAUAUUUGUGUAAAGUGUACAAGUGCAGAAUCAAACAAUAAACAAUAUUAAUGUC